GCAAGUCGAACGAGAAAACUCUUCGGAGUGAGUAUAGUGGCGCACGGGUGAGUAAUGCAUGGGAACGUACCUUAAAGUCGGGAAUAACUACGGGAAACUGUAGCUAAUACCGGAUGUGCUUUUAGUAAAGAUGGCUUCGGCUAUCGCUUUAAGAUCGGCCCAUGUCCCAUUAGCUAGUUGGGGGGGUAAUGGCCCACCAAGGCGACGAUGGGUAGCGGGUCUGAGAGGAUGAUC
rnacentral:rRNA from 1 species